rfam:Kangiella koreensis DSM 16069, complete genome.
CUCCUCCUGGGCUGUUCGUCAGUAGCGACCGUCCUCGAGCCGAUAAUACUUUACUUGGGACUCCUCAAUGGAAGUGUUGCGCAAGUCCGUUUCGACCGGAAAGCCUGAUCUUCUACAUGGACUCCCCCCUGAACCUUUGGGUUCAUGGGCUAUUACCUACAACGGCAGUCCGGGGUUUUA